rnacentral:rRNA from 1 species
UACGUAGGGUGCGAGCGUUAAUCGGAAUUACUGGGCGUAAAGCGUGCGCAGGCGGUUCGUUAAGUCAGAUGUGAAAGCCCCGGGCUCAACCUGGGAACGGCAUUUGAAACUGGCGGGCUGGAGUGUGGCAGAGGGGGUGGAAUUCCGCGUGUAGGCAGUGAAAUGCGUAGAGAUGCGGAGGAACACCGAUGGCGAAGGCAGCCCCCUGGGCCAACACUGACGCUCAGGCACGAAAGCGUGGGGAGCAAACAGG